GCCAAUCGAAUAUCGGCCAGUCCGCGGCGAAGCCGGUGCAAUUCCGGCGCUGUCCCGCAACUGUGAAUUUAGUUAGGUAGUUGGAUAGUUACGUAGUUGGAUAGUUACGUAGUUAUGUAGUUGGAUAGUUAAAUAGUUGGGUAGUUUGAUGUUCAACUACCAAACUACCAAACUACAAAACUACAAAACUACCAAACUACCAAACUAAAUGAGUCAGGUCGCCCGCGCUGGUCGGUUCGC
rnacentral:ncRNA from 1 species